rnacentral:rRNA from 1 species
GAGCACGUAGGUGGGUUUGUAAGUCAGAUGUGAAAUCCCUCGGCUCAACCGAGGAAUUGCGUUUGAUACUGCAGUCCUCGAGUGCAGGAGGGGAGAGUGGAAUUCCUGGUGGAGCGGUGAAAUGCGUAGAUAUCAGGAAGAACGCCGGAGGCGAAAGCGACUCUCUGGCCUGCUACUGACGCUGAGGUGCGAAAGCCAAGGGAGCGAACAGGAUUAGAUACCCUGGUAGUCUUGGCCGUAAACGAUGGGCACUAAGUAGAGGGGUUUU